rnacentral:lncRNA from 1 species
AGGCAUUCAAUAUAAAAAUGCUAUAGGAAAUGAAGGGAGGCAAAGUAGAUGAAUCCAUUUGGAACUAUUCCAGUGAGCCACUCGUUCCUGAGGUAUUAGCCAAUCAUAUCUUAGCUUCUUUCAUGUUCCUGAAAUUCAUAUUCAAUGGCUCAAGAGACCUAGAAGGCCACUUACCUCGUUACAACAAUCACAUGAAAAUUUUUAGGCCUUUAACACUAUCAUGUGUAGAGCAUUCUUCAUGACCCUCUCUCAAACGGCUCGACAGUGGUAUGUAUCAGUACUCGAUGAUCCAUUCACUCCUUCGAGCAAUUACAUGGGCGAUUAAUGAGCUGCUUCCUGGCCAACAAAACACUUCAACAGUCUCCUGCUUAUCUGAUGACCAUAUGCCAAGGGGUGAAUGAAUCCCUCCGAGAUUAUGUUCGUAGUUUCAGUGCAACCACUAUGAUAACAAUGGGGGUUACAGAUGAAGGGGUCAUCCACGCUUUUGCUGUUGGGGCCACCCACCAACAGUUGAGGUACAUCAUUAUUGGGAAUCCACCGAGCAAGUUAUCCACGUUGUAUGAAAUGGUUCACAAAUUUUUGAAAGGUGAUGAAGUAGAAAGAGCUUGUGCCAACUCUUUUGUGUCCACCAUCCAGCAGUCUAAUCCUCCGCGUCGUUCCCUUCCACGACGCUCUCAAGGCUAUCAGCAGCCAAUGACCCAUUCUAGGGUAGGCAACAUGGAGCAUAGGCAAUACAACCCUUCAAAUCAGAGAGAUCGACAAAGGGUUAAUAAUGUCCAUGCCUAUGACUGUUCAGGACCCAUCCAGGGGAACAAGGGAGGCUAAGAUCAAAGGUUCCGGGCACCUUACAAUGAAUAUAGAACUUACCAUGAGCUCACCUGCUCUCUAGCCCAGAUAUUCGAUCAGAUCGAAUACCAAGGUAUUUUGGAAAUGCCACCCCAGCUGCCACCUAGCCAGGAUCACUAUAACUCAAACCAUCACUAUAUAUAUUACAAUGCUCUUAGGCACCACACAAAUGUUAGAAAAAAAGGCAGCAGCAACAAUGAACAACAAAGAGCAUAAGCUCAUGAAAACAACAAGCAAAACAAUUGAUACGCUAAAGAAAAAAAAACCAAAUGAGAAAGU